ensembl:lncRNA
GGGUAAUACUAUUAUAUUAUACAGUACAACAGACAGGGACAGGGGUAAUAAUAUUAUAUUAUACAGUAUAACAGACAGGGACAGGGGUAAUAAUAUUAUAUUAUACAGUACAACAGACAGGGACAGAGACAGGGGUAAUAAUAUUAUAUUAUACAGUACAACAGACAGGGACAGAGACAGGGGUAAUAAUAUUAUAUUAUACAGUACAACAGACAGGGACAGAGACAGGGGUAAUAAUAUUAUAUUAUACACUACAACAGACAGGAGAGGUAAUAAUAUUAUAUUUUACAGUACAACAGACAUGGACAGGGGUAAUAAUAAUAUAUUAUACAGUACAACAGACAGGGACAGAGACAGGGGUAAUAAUAUUAUAUUAUACAGUACAACAGACAGGGACAGAGACAGGGGUAAUAAUAUUAUAUUAUACACUACAACAGACAGGAGAGGUAAUAAUAUUAUAUUUUACAGUACAACAGACAUGGACAGGGGUAAUAAUAAUAUAUUAUACAGUACAACAGACAGGGACAGGGGUAAUAAUAUUAUAUUAUACAGUACAACAGACAGGGACAGAGACAGGGGUAAUAAUAUAUUAUACAGUACAACAGACAGGGACAGGGGUAAUAAUAUUAUAUUAUACAGUACAACAGACAGGGACAGGGGUCAUAUUAUAUUAUACAGUACAACAGACAGGGACAGAGGUAAUAAUAUUAUAUUAUAGAGUACAACAGACAGGGACAGGGGUAAUAAUAUUAUAUUUUACAGUACAACAGACAGGGACAGAGGUAAUAAUAUUAUAUUAUACAGUACAACAGACAGGGACAGGGGUAAUAAUAUAUUAUACAGUACAACAGACAGGGACAGAGGUAAUAAUAUUAUAUUAUACAGUACAACAGACAGGGACAGGGGUAAUAAUAUAUUAUACAGUACAACAGACAGGGACAGGGGUAAUAAUAUUAUAUUAUACAGUACAACAGACAGGGACAGGGGUAAUAAUAU